GAUGAACGCUGGCGGCGUGCCUAAUACAUGCAAGUCGAACGCAUUGAGAAAAGUGCUUGCACUUUUCAAUUUGAGUGGCGAACGGGUGAGUAACACGUGGGCAACCUACCUGAUAGCGGGGGAUAACGAGUGGAAACAUUCGCUAAUACCGCAUAACAAUAGAGAAGGCAUCUUCUUUAUUUAAAAGGCGCUUUCAAGCGUCACUAUCAGAUGGGCCCGCGGUGCAUUAGUUAGUUGGUGGGGUGAAGGCCUACCAAGACGAUGAUGCAUAGCCGAGUGUGGAGACUGAUCGGCCACAUUGGGACGGACACACGGCCCAAACUCCUACGGGAGGCUGCAGUAGGGAAUCUUCCACAAUGGACGAAAGUCUGAUGGAGCAACGCCGCGUGUGUGAUGAAGGCUUUCGGGUCGUAAAGCACUGUUGUAUGGGAAGAAAUGCUAGGCUAGGAAAUGAGCUUAGUUUGACGGUACCAUACCAGAAAGGGACGGCUAAAUACGUGCCAGCCGCCGCCGUAA
rnacentral:rRNA from 1 species